CAGUAAAGAGUUCCACAGACCCACCACUCUCUGGCUGAAGGGAAGCUGAAGAUAAUGGUGCUGCAAUCAAAAUUGGGAAUGAGCAAAAGGCAAGAACUGGAGGAGCACAGGUCUUUUGUGCUACAGCGGGCACACAGAGAGGGGAGCCGGAAG